UACGGGGGGAGCAAGCGUUGUUCGGAUUUACUGGGCGUAAAGGGCGCGUAGGCGGCCAGCACAAGUCAGUUGUGAAAUCUCCGGGCUUAACUCGGAAAGGUCAACUGAUACUGUGCGGCUAGAGUGCAGAAGGGGCAACUGGAAUUCUCGGUGUAGCGGUGAAAUGCGCAGAUAUCAGGAGGAACACCGGUGGCGAAGGCGGUUCUCUGGGCAACAACUGACGCUGAGGAGCGAAAGCGUGGGGAGCGAACAGG
rnacentral:rRNA from 1 species